rnacentral:lncRNA from 1 species
CAUGCUAUAGCUUUUCCAAUAAUCAACCAGAAUAUUAGGUUGAGAUCAAAGAGAUGUUUCCACAAAGAGAAAAAAAUCACCGGAGGUCACAUGGAGUUCACCAAAGACCACAUUUCCAAACUCUAGAAUAAUAAAAACCCGAGUUGAGAGCUCCAGCAAUGCCACGCUCGCCCUGCUCUUGCUUCUGCUCACAGUGCUGCAGCGACAGUCGCUGCGGGGGAUGCACAGCCAGCAGCUGGCGAUGGGGGGGAUCGCGCCCCAGGCCUCCGCUCUUGCUCCGCCUGCCCUGCUGUGCGUCGGAGCCGCCUCCCAAUUCCCUGGCCUUCGAUGUUACACUGCAUCUUCUAGUUCACAAUGGCGACAACCUCCCGGUCUAUCUGUGCGCUCACGCUUCACUCAUAUUCUCACUCGAUCCUGGUUGAAGCUUGCUUGCGCCGCUUGUCGCGUCGCCUUCGAUUGCACCUCCUAUUGCACUUCGGGCUUGAGCGUGGCCUUGUUGGGUUGGGUCGUAUAAUUCCUAGAUCAAGCUGUAGUAUGCAUUUCGUCGCUGCCGCCGCGGUUGGAAGAAUUCCUGAGUUUGGUGUAGAUUGCUUCUCAUGGGUGGGGGUCUGCCUCUUCAUGUUCGGGAUUACACACCGGAAAGGGCAUUCCUAGCAUGCUCAUCAUGGUCUAGUUUUGGAGUGUUGAUUGGAGUGGUCUCCGGAUUUUGUUGGGAUGGAAUUGGGCUACUCGAAGGUCGCCGAAAUUGGGAAAGUCAGCUUCGGAAUAUGUUGGAGGGGAUGAUCCCCUCCAUGGCUGCUGCAGCAAGGCGGGAACCAUCUACAAUUCAUAAGAACUAUGUCUGUGCUUUUAUGUUGUUGCUGUGACGCGGCCCUGGUGACUAAGUGAGACUCUGAAGUUGGUUGUGAGCGAAGUUGUGUGCGAGUAGCACCGUGAGUUCAUACAGGAUGGUAGUUUGAGAUUGCAUGAGAAGAUCGCCUGAAUAGCGAUUGAAGAGUCGUCAAACAGAGUGGAAAGCAGAUUUGCGCGCUCCAACGAGAGGGGAAGGAGGGGUGGAACUCAGCACUAGAGGCUCAAAAGGGAUCGGUCUGCAACAUCCCAACAUAGUGCAGACAAUCAUGGGGAUAAAACAAUGGAGAAUUAUUGACAAAAGCGAGAGGAGAUUUUGUCCACGGUUUAUAAUUCUGAGGUGAUGGAUAGGGAGAAUUAGCUGUGCCCUACCACUGGGGCAUAAUCAUUGCGAGUUUCUUCGGUGACACUAUCCCGAAUCGCUUUAAUGCACUAGUUGUACCUGAUCUCAAGUGUAGAUGACAAUCAGUGAGCAAGGCAUCAUGUGCGGCAGCUCUGUCAAGAUGCAGGAUCGCCGUUCCUUCUCUACCCCACACCCCCCGCUUUCAUGAAAUGAUCGCCUGUCGAAGAACCUGAACCCUCAGUUCUCUGUCCGUGCCUUGUGCGCGUGCGUGUGGUACACAAACUGUAGCUUUCCUAAGAGAUCUUCUCCACCCACCAUUGGAUGGGACAUAAUCCAAUUAGCACUAGGGCAGUACUUAGCUGCAGUUAGUUUUGCACCUGGUUCCUGCAGCCCAUCUCUCGGCUCUCAUUGCCAUGUAACUUAGGAAUGCAUAAAGAUAAGAUAUCAUUUGCAUGGUAUAUGUGAUUCCAGUCUGAAUUAUUGUCGCGAUGAAUUCAAACUGUAAAGUUGCAG